GUGCUUGCUUUGGCAGCACAUAUACUAAAAAUUGGAAUGAUACAGAGAAGAUCAGCAUGGCCCCUGCUCAAGGAUUACCCUCAAAUUUGUGAAGCAUUCCAUAUUUUU